GACAAGGGAAAAGCAGGGACGCCUUGCGCAGGGAUGGGAGCCUCCAGAAACCGCCUUCAGCCCCCAGUUCGGUGAGCUGUCUCUGCCCCGUUACCCUUGGUUGGGCAUGACUUGGUGCCUCGCACGCAGCCGCCUCCUCCUCCCCAGCACUCGGGCCCCUUUCUGUUGAGGUUUCCAGGGUCUCCAGCAGCCCCAGGUACCCCAGGUGCUGCCCUUGCGUUCUCCAGGCUUCGUGUGUCCUGCGCCACGUGCUCCUGCCUCCCAUCGCAGGCUGCUGCUAAGGCAGCAGCAGGCAGGUUUCUGGAAUGGGCUCUUGCCGCGUUCCCUGCUGACCACACUGCCGGUGCUGCCAGCUUCCCCAAGUACCCUCGGCCACCUUCGCCACAUUGACUCUAUUCAUCAGCAUCUUCCCCAGGCCCUUCACAGGGUGCUGGUCGCUGCCCCCCAACAUCCUUCUACCCCUCCGAUGGCUGCUACAACCAGCAAUGACUUCACUCGUGGGUAACUGGAGAGCCUAAAUUUGUGUGUUUAGAGCAUCUGUGGUCAGAAGACUCUGUUCCCUCGCUUACCUGUUUGUAUGGUCCCCUUUAUUAGUGUACAGAUGGCUGUCACCGGGUCUGUGAGUUUGAAAAAUGCUCUUAGUCUGUAGACAGGGAAGGGAGGCAAAGGCAGAGGGACCAAGAUCAUUAAAAAAUUAUUUUGGUGUUUA